UGGCGUCAGAUACUAGGGCCGGAGACUCCGAUCAUGUGACCCAAGCUGCAAUUCAACAGCAGGUCACAUGUCUCGUGUGUCCCGGCCCUUGGAUACCGAUCAUGGGAUGCUUGUUGGUUACUUAGGUAACUACAAGGAGCAGAGGGAAAAGGAAAAAUGUCAUCAAAACAGCGAACAUACCUCAUGAAGGAGAAUCCAACCAUUGCGACUCUAUAUAUAUUACCCAAAAUAAACAAACAGGCUACAACCCCUCCAGGAUGGCACAUAUCCAGUUGGAAGAUGACAUGCUACUAAUCACGUGUGAUGUGGAAUCUCUUUACACCUCCAUAUGCCAUAAAGAUGUAUUAUUCGCUUUACAACAAUUCUUAAUGAUGUCAGAAGUGGAUGAAGACUUUGGUUAGUUUUUGCUACAGUUAUUGGAAUUUGCAUUAACUCACAACUUCUUCCUGUUCAAGGAGAAGUUCUAUUUGCAGGUACAAGGUACCGCGAUGGGCACGUCCUGUGCACCAUCUUAUGCAAACCUAUUUUUGGGGGCAUGGGAAAGUUCCAUCUUUCUCACUGACCCCCCUCCGUAUAUUGACAGGGUCCAAAUGUGGUCACGAUUUGUAGAUGAUGUCCUGUUUAUCUGGAAAGGAUCUACACACGAGCUUUAGCAAUUUAUGAAUCAUCUCAAGCAAAACAAAUUAAAUAUCAAACUUACCUAUAAAGCUGGAAGGGAUAGGAUGGAUUUCUUGGAUGUUGCCUUUCACAUGGACCAGGAUGGGUGUGUCCAAACUGAUUUAUUUCGGAAACCUACAGCGACUAAUUUGCUUUUAAAUGACCUUUCCUCUCACCAACGUAAUCUAAUUAAGGGUAUACCAGUUGGGCAAUUUUUAAGACUAAAACGAAUUUUCUGUACAGAUGCUAUGUUUGAAGCCAGAGCCCAGGAGCUGGGGGACAGAUUUACCGACAGAGGAUAUGAUGAAAGUUGGAUACAUCAUGCCUAUUUGCGAGCAAAACAUACUAAACGCGACUCUCUCCUCCAACCAAGGUCCAAACCUAAGGACGCUACCCAGGUGAGGUUCAUUUAGUCAUUUCAUGCCCAGGUCCCCCAAGUAUGUGACAUCCUACAGAAAUACUAGAAGAUCCUUCUAAUGGAUCCUACCAUUAGUAUUUAUCUUCCACAACAGCCUUCCCUGACAUUUAGGAGAGCAGAAAAUCUAAGAGAUAAAUUGGUGCGCAGUCACUACACACGUCCCACUUCUCCUAACCCAUUUGGUACUCAGAAACCCAAAUGGGGAUGUCGUCCCUGUGGGAGAUGCGUUGCAUGCCCCAAUGUAUUGACGGAAGUUCUCAAAUUGCGCAGUUUCAAGAUCACUCACACCAUCACAUGUGAGACAACAGGCGUCAUCUAUUAUGCUACCUGCCCGCGUGAUCUUAUUUACAUAGAGAUGACAACCAGAGAGCUGAAGAGAUGGACGAGGGAACAUGUUCUGGGCAUAAUGGAGGUUAAGGACACAGAGGACCUCUCCCGAUUAACCACCAUCCGAAAGCACUUCAAAUAACAUCACAACUGUGACCCCAGCCUCUUUAAGGUAAGGGGCAUAGAUAGAGUUUUUCUUGGAACUAUGGGAGGAGAGUGGAAAAUAAGACUUGCCUAAUUAGAGACGAGGUGGAUUAACCGACUAAAAACCUUGCAUCCCCUGUGACUAAAUGACCACAACAGCUUUAGUCCCUUCCUGCGAUAGACCUUCAAUCUACUGCAUGAGGUUCAUGUCAAAGGACCUUAGACUCUUACCCUCGGUUUUGUACUAUCCCGAAUAGGGAUGGGUUGUUUUUAACAUAAUUGUGUUUUAAGAUGUUUUUAAUUUCCCUUCUCUCUUUGUCUAUUUGUCUCUAGGCCUCCUCUUCAGUUGCCUGUCUGCAUUCCCUCUGUGACCUCUGGUUUCUACUUUUUAGCCUCAAGCUGCUUUGCACUGUGCACCUUAUGAGAGAUUAUCUCCCUUCAAUUACUGUGAUUACAUUUGCUCUUUUGCACAUAUGGGUACCUAUUCAAAUUAUAUCUCGUGCUGUUAAUAUA